rnacentral:rRNA from 1 species
GACGAACCGAGCGAACGUUGUUCGGAAUCACUGGGCUUAAAGGGCGCGUAGGCGGGCCGCCGCGUCCGGGGUGAAAUCCUCCCGCUCAACGGGAGAACGGCCUCGGAUACGGGCGGUCUGGAGGGGGGUAGGGGCGUGCGGAACUGUGGGUGGAGCGGUGAAAUGCGUUGAUAUCCACAGGAACUCCGGUGGCGAAGGCGGCACGCUGGACCCCACCUGACCGCUGAGGCGCGAAAGCCAGGGGAGCGAACAGG